GCAGUGCGCCGCGUGGCUUUAGCAUGCAAAGACCGUCGUCGCCCGUGGCUCCGCCAGAACCGGCGACGCCGCCGUCCGGACCGACGCCGACGCCGCCCCCGUAGUGACGUCGCUCGCCGCCCGCCUCACGUGGAAGAUGGUGUGUACUUUGCGGGUGACGAUCCGCUCACUGUCAUAGACACCGCCACACAAGAGCGAUUUACCGAGCAAUUUCAACCAGUACUUCCAACGCCACACUGUCGAUGAGGGUGACAACAAAGAAACAGCUGACGAGCGUAGAACAGAUGAAGUAGCUGACACACUGUCUGGAAUUGGAAGAAGGUGAAAACUCUCUUCAACGCACCUUGAUCAUGGUUUAUCAGCUGUGGAGAACCAAGUAUGUUACCGGGCACUGUUUCUGCGUAGCUUCCGUGCUGGAGGACAGUGAAGGAAGAGUGUUAAUCGUAGACAGCAAGCAAUCUACUGCAACUUCUCAAUUCUCGUCAGAUUUGAAAUUAUUGUUUGCCUUCUAUACUGACAACCUGUUUACAAAGCCUCCGGCUUGAGUAAAAUAAAUGCU